rnacentral:lncRNA from 1 species
UCAAGUGAUCCUCCAGCCUCAGCCUCCCAAGUAGCUGGGACUAUACCACACUACAGCUAAUUUUUUAAUAUUUUGUAGAGACUGGGUUUCACUAUGUUACCCAGGCUGGUCUCAAAUUCCUGAGCUCAAGUGAUCCUCCCGUUCUCUGGCCAAAAAGAAAUUGAACGAGAAAUACGUAUAGAAAGAUAUCAAGAAAAAAUGAAACAUCUGGAUUAAAACACACACACACACAGACACACACUUUUAAAUGACCCAUAGGUGAAAGAAGAAAUCAUAAUGAAGAUAUAAAAAUAUUUUGAACUGAAUGAAAAUACAAGAACAAC